rnacentral:tRNA from 1 species
AAAGCAGAAGUAACACUACAUUUGGUUUCGGCCCAAAUAUUGGCUAAGGCCCUGUUUUA